rnacentral:rRNA from 1 species
GACGAACGCUGGCGGCGUGCUUAACACAUGCAAGUCGAACGAUGAAGCGGGUGCUUGCACUCGUGGAUUAGUGGCGAACGGGCGAGUAACACGUGAGUAACCUGUCCUUUUCUUUGGGAUAACGGCUGGAAACGGCUGCUAAUACUGGAUAUUCAGGCUGCAUCGCAUGGUGUGGUUUGGAAAGGUUUUUUCUGGGAUUGGGUGGGCUCGCGGCCUAUCAGCUUGUUGGUGGGGUGAUGGCUUACCAAGGCUUUGACGGGUAGCCGGCCUGAGAGGGUGGUCGGUCGCACUGGGACUGAGAUACGGCCCAGACUCCUACGGGAGGCAGCAGUGGGGAAUAUUGCACAAUGGACGAAAGUUUGAUGCAGCGACGCCGCGUGGAGGGUGUAGGCCUUCGGGUUGUGAACUCCUUUUUCUCGCGAAAAAGGCACAGUUUUGGCUGUGUUGAUGGUAGUGGGUGAAGAAGCGCCGGCUAACUACGUG